UACGUAGGGGUCCGAGCGUUGUCCGGAAUUACUGGGCGUAAAGAGCUCGUAGGUGGUUUGUCGCGUUGUUCGUGAAAUGCCACAACUCAAUUGUGGGCGUGCGGGCGAUACGGGGCAGACUGGAGUACUGCAGGGGAGACUGGAAUUCCUGGUGUAGCGGUGGAAUGCGCAGAUAUCAGGAGGAACACCAAUAGCGAAGGCAGCUCGCUGGGACGUUACUGACACUGAGGCGCGAAAGCGUGGGGAGCGAACAGG
rnacentral:rRNA from 1 species